CAGAAAUUUAAGGGGUGCUGUCACAAGCUGAGAUUAUACCCAAUGAACCUAGAACAGGUAAUGCUGUUUAGGGAAACAUUCAUUAUAAAUG
rnacentral:ncRNA from 1 species